UACGAAGGGUGCAAGCGUUAUCCGGAUUCAUUGGGUUUAAAGGGUGCGUAGGUGGGGCGAUAAGUCAGUGGUGAAAUCCUGCGGCUUAACCGGGGAACUGCGUCUGAUACUGGAUGGCUUGAGUUCGGGAGAGGGAUGCGGAAUUCCAGGUGUAGCGGUGAAAUGCGUAGAUAUCUGGAGGAACACCGGUGGCGAAGGCGGCAUCCUGGACCAAUACUGACGCUGAGGAGCGAAAGCCAGGGGAGCAAACGGG
rnacentral:rRNA from 1 species